rnacentral:rRNA from 1 species
CCUACGGGUGGCAGCAGUCGAGAAUCAUUCCCAAUGGGGGCAACCCUGAUGGUGCGACGCCGCGUGGGGGAAUGAAGGUCUUCGGAUUGUAAACCCCUGUCAUGUGGGAGCAAAUUAAAAAGAUAGUACCACAAGAGGAAGAGACGACUAACUCUGUGCCAGCAGCCGCGGUAAUACAGAGGUCUCAAGCGUUGUUCGGCAUCACUGGGCGUAAGGGGUUCGUAGGCGGUUUCGUAAGUCGUGUGUGAAAGGCGCGGGCUCAAUCCGAGGACGGCACAUGAUACUGCGAGACUAGAGUAAUGGAGGGGGAAGCGGAAUUCGUGGUGUAGCAGUGAAAUGCGUAGAUAUCGAGAGGAACACCCGUGGCGAAGGCGGGUUACUGGACAUUAACUGACGCUGAGGCACGAAGGCCAGGGGAGCGAAAGGGAUUAGAUACCCGGGUAGUC